UUUCCAGGCAGUUCAGUUUACGGCCUUAAACUGAAUUGUUCUUUUUCGUAUUAUGAGGGUCCAAAUUCAAACCGUAUUCUGCCUGGAUAGUUUGUCUCUGGCUGGUUAGUGGAUUUUCUCGCGCUGCGUUCGGAUACGCAUACAUUCGUUGCAACGUUAAGUUGAGUUUUUGUGUGUCACUUUUUGGACAAAAUAUUAAUUAAAUAAAUGUAAAUUAAAUAUAGAAAACAGUAAUUAAGAUACAAUGGUAGAAUUUGUGUAAUAUACAAAAAUAUUCCAGACAGUUUUAUUGUCUUUUUUAAUAAUUCGGAUUUAUUUGUAAAAAAUAUUUUCAUUGUAAUAUCCAAACGAACUUUGUGCAUCUACUUAAAAUUCCGCGCAAAGUACUUAAUUCUGAUUUUAAUGUACAAUUUGAAACUUAGCCUUUCCAUGACUUUAUACGCAAGUUAAAUUUAAUAAUUCAAUUAUUGUGAAAAAUAUACCUAAUGUAACAUCACGGACUGAAACCCCUGGCCAACGUCGUGUAUCGUACCGGUAAUUUAAAAUUAUAUGGGAUUUUUAAAAUCCCAUAGGGAAAUGGCAAGUGGCUUUAAUAAGUCCGCCCAAGAAUACCAUACCAAUCGCUUGUGUGAGGACGUCGCUCAACAAUUAAACUCCUUAGGAAAAGGGGGUUUUAAAGACUGGAAAGGAUUGUCAAGUUUAAGUGUUAUAAGAUUAAUUACAUAGUUGAAGAUUAUUUGAAACAUAAGAGAAUAAUUAAUGGAU